AGCGUACACGGUGGAUGCCCUGGCAGUCAGAGGCGAUGAAGGACGUGCUAAUCUGCGAUAAGCGUCGGUAAGGUGAUAUGAACCGUUAUAACCGGCGAUUUCCGAAUGGGGAAACCCAGUGUGAUUCGUCACACUAUCAUUACGUGAAUACAUAGCGUAAUGAAGCGAACCGGGGGGAACUGAAACAUCUAAGUACCCCGAGGAAAAGAAAUCAACCGAGAUUCCCCCAGUAGCGGCGAGCGAACGGGGAGCAGCCCAGAGUCUGAAUCAGCUUGUGUGUUAGUGGAACGGUCUGGAAAGUCCGACGGUACAGGGUGAUAGUCCCGUACACCAAAAUGCACAGGUUGUGAACUCGAAGAGUAGGGCGGGACACGUGGUAUCCUGUCUGAAUAUGGGGGGACCAUCCUCCAAGGCUAAAUACUCCUGACUGACCGAUAGUGAACCAGUACCGUGAGGGAAAGGCGAAAAAGAACCCCGGCGAGGGGAGUGAAAAAGAACCUGAAACCGUGUACGUACAAGCAGUGGGAGCCUCUUUAUGGGGUGACUGCGUACCUUUUGUAUAAUGGGUCAGCGACUUAUAUUCUGUAGCAAGGUUAACCGUAUAGGGGAGCCGAAGGGAAACCGAGUCUUAACUGGGCGUUAAGUUGCAGGGUAUAGACCCGAAACCCGGUGAUCUAGCCAUGGGCAGGUUGAAGGUUGGGUAACACUAACUGGAGGACCGAACCGACUAAUGUUGAAAAAUUAGCGGAUGACUUGUGGCUGGGGGUGAAAGGCCAAUCAAACCGGGAGAUAGCUGGUUCUCCCCGAAAGCUAUUUAGGUAGCGCCUCGUGAAUUCAUCUUCGGGGGUAGAGCACUGUUUCGGCUAGGGGGUCAUCCCGACUUACCAACCCGAUGCAAACUGCGAAUACCGAAGAAUGUUAUCACGGGAGACACACGGCGGGUGCUAACGUCCGUCGUGAAGAGGGAAACAACCCAGACCGCCAGCUAAGGUCCCAAAGUCAUGGUUAAGUGGGAAACGAUGUGGGAAGGCACAGACAGCCAGGAUGUUGGCUUAGAAGCAGCCAUCAUUUAAAGAAAGCGUAAUAGCUCACUGGUCGAGUCGGCCUGCGCGGAAGAUGUAACGGGGCUAAACCAUGCACCGAAGCUGCGGCAGCGACACUAUGUGUUGUUGGGUAGGGGAGCGUUCUGUAAGCCGUUGAAGGUGUGUCGUGAGGCAUGCUGGAGGUAUCAGAAGUGCGAAUGCUGACAUAAGUAACGAUAAUGCGGGUGAAAAACCCGCACGCCGGAAGACCAAGGGUUCCUGUCCAACGUUAAUCGGGGCAGGGUGAGUCGACCCCUAAGGCGAGGCCGAAAGGCGUAGUCGAUGGGAAACAGGUUAAUAUUCCUGUACUUGGUGUUACUGCGAAGGGGGGGACGGAGAAGGCUAUGUUGGCCGGGCGACGGUUGUCCCGGUUUAAGCAUGUAGGCGGAGGUUCCAGGUAAAUCCGGUACCUUUUAACGCUGAGGUGUGAUGACGAGGCACUACGGUGCUGAAGUGACAAAUGCCCUGCUUCCAGGAAAAGCCUCUAAGCAUCAGGUAACACGAAAUCGUACCCCAAACCGACACAGGUGGUCAGGUAGAGAAUACCAAGGCGCUUGAGAGAACUCGGGUGAAGGAACUAGGCAAAAUGGUGCCGUAACUUCGGGAGAAGGCACGCUGAUAUGUAGGUGAAGCGGUUUACCCGUGGAGCUGAAAUCAGUCGAAGAUACCAGCUGGCUGCAACUGUUUAUUAAAAACACAGCACUGUGCAAACACGAAAGUGGACGUAUACGGUGUGACGCCUGCCCGGUGCCGGAAGGUUAAUUGAUGGGGUUAUCCGUAAGGAGAAGCUCUUGAUCGAAGCCCCGGUAAACGGCGGCCGUAACUAUAACGGUCCUAAGGUAGCGAAAUUCCUUGUCGGGUAAGUUCCGACCUGCACGAAUGGCGUAAUGAUGGCCAGGCUGUCUCCACCCGAGACUCAGUGAAAUUGAACUCGCUGUGAAGAUGCAGUGUACCCGCGGCAAGACGGAAAGACCCCGUGAACCUUUACUAUAGCUUGACACUGAACACUGGUCCUUGAUGUGUAGGAUAGGUGGGAGGCUUUGAAGCGUGGACGCCAGUCUGCGUGGAGCCAACCUUGAAAUACCACCCUUUAAUGGCUGGUGUUCUAACGUUGACCCGUGAUCCGGGUUGCGGACAGUGUCUGGUGGGUAGUUUGACUGGGGCGGUCUCCUCCUAAAGAGUAACGGAGGAGCACGAAGGUUAGCUAAUCCUGGUCGGACAUCAGGAGGUUAGUGCAAAGGCAUAAGCUAGCUUGACUGCGAGAGUGACGGCUCGAGCAGGUGCGAAAGCAGGUCUUAGUGAUCCGGUGGUUCUGAAUGGAAGGGCCAUCGCUCAACGGAUAAAAGGUACUCCGGGGAUAACAGGCUGAUACCGCCCAAGAGUUCAUAUCGACGGCGGUGUUUGGCACCUCGAUGUCGGCUCAUCACAUCCUGGGGCUGAAGUAGGUCCCAAGGGUAUGGCUGUUCGCCAUUUAAAGUGGUACGCGAGCUGGGUUUAGAACGUCGUGAGACAGUUCGGUCCCUAUCUGCCGUGGGCGCUGGAGAAUUGAGGGGGGCUGCUCCUAGUACGAGAGGACCGGAGUGGACGCAUCACUGGUGUUCGGGUUGUCAUGCCAAUGGCAUUGCCCGGUAGCUAAAUGCGGAAGAGAUAAGUGCUGAAAGCAUCUAAGCACGAAACUUGCCCCGAGAUGAGUUCU
rnacentral:rRNA from 1 species